GACGAACGCUGGCGGCGUGCUUAACACAUGCAAGUCGAACGGAAAGGCCCUGCUUUUGUGGGGGGCUCGAGUGGCGAACGGGUGAGUAACACGUGAGUAACCUGCCCUUGACUUUGGGAUAACUUCAGGAAACUGGGGCUAAUACCGGAUAGGAGCUCCUGCUGCAUGGUGGGGGUUGGAAAGUGUCGGCGGUUGGGGAUGGACUCGCGGCUUAUCAGCUUGUUGGUGGGGUAGUGGCUUACCAAGGCUUUGGCGGGUAGCCGGCCUGAGAGGGUGACCGGCCACAUUGGGACUGAGAUACGGCCCAGACUCCUACGGGAGGCAGCAGUGGGGAAUAUUGCACAAUGGGCGGAAGCCUGAUGCAGCAACGCCGCGUGCGGGAUGACGUCCUGCGGGUUGUAAACCGCUUUCGCCUGUGACGAAGCGUGAGUGACGGUAAUGGGUAAAGAAGCACCGGCUAACUACGUG
rnacentral:rRNA from 1 species